rnacentral:misc_RNA from 1 species
AGCCGACGAAGAAGGCAAUGAGCGAGGCGGUGGCGGUGUAGUGGCGAUGGGCGGCGAAGGUCCAGGAGGCGGCAAAGAUGGUGCAGAGGGAUCCGCUAGAGACGCCAGUGAGGAAGCAGAUGGAGCUAGUCAUGUCGGAGUCGACUAAUUGUUCCAUGCCUUGUCGCUCAAAUAGGCCCCAAGUGCUCUGGGAGGCGGCCACGAACCCCUUUCCGUAUGCGGCUAUAUGAACGAAGGCCCAGCUGUUGCCAUAUCUGAACACAGACUCCAUAACCCGCAAGCAGCAAUGAGCACACGAGAACAUGAACUCAUCCUCA